UACGGAGGGUGCAAGCGUUAUCCGGAUUCACUGGGUUUAAAGGGUGCGUAGGUGGGCUGGUAAGUCCGUGGUGAAAUCUCCGAGCUUAACUCGGAAACUGCCGUGGAUACUAUUAGUCUUGAAUCUCGUGGAGGUAAGCGGAAUAUGUCAUGUAGCGGUGAAAUGCUUAGAUAUGACAUAGAACACCGAUAGCGAAGGCAGCUUGCUACACGAGUAUUGACACUGAGGCACGAAAGCGUGGGGAGCAAACAGG
rnacentral:rRNA from 1 species